UGGGGGAUCGUCUAGUGGCAGGACCGCAGGCUCUGGACCUGCUAACCUAGGUUCGAAUCCUAGUCCCCCAGCCA
rnacentral:tRNA from 1 species